rnacentral:misc_RNA from 1 species
UACGUAGGAGGCAAGCGUUGUCCGGAUUUACUGGGCGUAAAGAGCGCGUAGGCGGCCAAGCUUGUCCACCGUGAAAGCUCCCUGCUUAACGGGGAGAGGCCGGUGGAGUACGACUUGGCUUGAGGACGGUAGAGGCAGGUGGAAUUCCCGGAGGAGCGGUGAAAUGCGUAGAGUUCGGGAGGAACACCAGAGGCGAAAGCGGCCUGCUGGGCCGGUCCUGACGCUGAGGCGCGAAAGCGUGGGGAGCAAACCGG